UGACACUCAUGGGAUCUGACAUACAU
rnacentral:piRNA from 1 species